rnacentral:rRNA from 1 species
AUUGAACGCUGGCGGCAUGCUUUACACAUGCAAGUCGAACGGUAACAGCACUUCGGUGGCUGACGAGUGGCGAACGGGGGAGUAAUACAUCGGAACGUGCCUAGUAGUUGGGGAUAACUACUCGUAAGAGUAGCUAAUACCGCAUGAGAUCUAAGGAUGAAAGCAGGGGACCUUCGGGCCUUGCGCUACUAGAUCGGCUGAUGGCGGAUUAGGUAGUUGGUGGGAUAAAAGUUUACCAAGCCGACGAUCUGUAGCUGGUCUGAGAGGACGACCAGCCACACUGGGACUGAGACACGGCCCAGACUCCUACGGGAGGCAGCAGUGGGGAAUUUUGGACAAAGGGCGCAAGCCUGAUCAAGCAAUGCCGCGUGCAGGAUGAAGGCCUUCGGGUUGUAAAAUGCAUUUGUACGGAACGAAAAGACCUCUCCUAAUCCAGGAGGGUCAUGACGGUACCGUAAGAAUAAGCCCCGGCUAACUACGUG